AAAAAAAAAAGAACUCCAGUUUAGUAUGUGACUCCUCAGGGUGCCUUUGGAUUGGUCAGGACCUUUAACUCAGAAGUUGAAAUUGGAAACAACUGAAGGGUUGUAAGUCAGGAAGGGAUGGAUUUGAGAGGGUUGAAACCAAGUGGCAAGAAAAUCAAACUCCUGAAAUGGAAAAGAAGUGAAGAAGCAUCCGAGCAGUGGUUAUAAGGAAACAGAGAAGAUGGCAAUGUUGAGGUAGAAUGGAAAGGAAGAAUCGUAGGGCUGGGGGCGCAGUCGGUGGUGGAGUAUAGCAUGCAUGAGGCCCUGGGUUCAGUCCCAUCCCGUUAAGGGUUAAAGUCGUUCCACCAACUGCAAUGGGGCACUCAAGCUGCAGCUAAAUUGUUAAGAAGUAUAACUUCUUGGGAAGACGAUUUUUUUGAAAUUGUAGCUCAUGUAUUCCUGUGGGACAGUAUGGUCUGAUGCUGCACAAUUACUAAAGUUUGCAAAUGACUAAGACAAGGGGAGAAUUUAAAACUUUCCAAGAUUGACCAGGAGUUGUGUGUUUCAUUUUGUAACAAUAUCAUGAAAUUUAAAAGCCCACAAAAGGUAUUACAGGAAUUUAUAUCCCAAACGCCAGUCAUUGUCUGGAGUUAUAAUUCUGGUGUGGGCAAGCAUGGUAAGUGUUAACAUGAGAUUAGAAACCAUGACAUGAAUCUUCUUUCCAAGAGCUGGGGUAGUCCUUUUACAGCUUUGACACCUAGCACAAAUGCUCAUCCAGAUUUAAAAUAGGCUCAAAGAGGCACACCUCCCCUUUCAACUCCCAAGUAACAGAGACCCAGAUAGGACUCACGUAGGCCUCCCAGGAGGAGGAAAAGGGAACACACUCCACCAGCAGCUAGGUAACGGGUGCCUGCCAGAAGUGCCCUCCAAACAAGGUUGGACUCGGAUAUGUGUCUCUCACACAAUUGAGUAGCAACUCUUCCAAAUGUGCAAGCUAAGGUUUACUUUUGGAUAAGUGGAAAUAAGUUUUGAAAUAGAGAACUGAGUUAUCAGAAAAUUGGUUGGUAAACAGGGUUGGAAAUAUCUUUAACCACUGGUGAUGUUAAGUUAUAAUAUGGUCACCCCUCUCCACUGUUGGGAUACAUCUUCAAGGAAAAAACAGAUUAAGCCUUUGGCCAGCAAUCCCUCUCCUAAAUAAACAUACUGGUCCUGGAAACAGCUCUUAGCCUCUUAAUUUGCUCCCUUUGCAGUGAGAAAGUGGACCAGAGAGAUUGAGAAAGGCCUGGGCACAGAGCUAGUAAAUGGCCCCCAGGCUGCCUCAGGUGAGAGCCCUGCCUCAGAACACAAGCCUGCAAAAUUCUUUCUCCCCUUGCUGUUUCACAAAGGAGGGAAACCAGGUCGGGAAAGUAGGAGAUUGACACCACGAUGUGCAGCCAGUACCUGAAAGAGCUGGAAUUUGAAAAUCCAUGUGAACCCCACCUGUGCUCCGGAAGCACUAGACUUUGCAUGUGGUUAGAUAUGAGUUCGUUGGUUUUCAAAACUGCAGAGUCCAGCACAUUGACCAUCCCAUAUAUUCAUGAUAAACAAAGGAGAUGAGAACAAAAUUCAUGCAAUCAUAGCAAAGAGUAAUGACCAGCCUGCUACACUGAGUUACCUACAAUCUUAUAAUUCAAAGAUUCUGGUUGCAUGGUUGUCUCAACAAAAGCGGGAUGGAUAGAGAGGUAAUCAUGAAGUCUCUUCAACCACCGAGAACACAGAUGGGAACCGACAGCUACAUAAAGCAGAGGUACAGUCCGCACACUUGUUCCCAAUCAAACCAUUUUCCAGAGCCUCCUGGAUUCCUCGAAAG